rnacentral:lncRNA from 1 species
AAAUGGCCAAUUUCUUUCAAAUGCUGUAUACUGGAAAAAUCCAAAGGACUCAUCAGAUGAACACAUUUCAAAGAGCCACUACCAAUUUUUUUUCUUAAGCAAAGCAUCAAGCCUCUGAUUUGCCGCUGAUAAAUUCUCUGUGUCAGACACUGCUCCAGGCCAGGAACACAAGAAGGAAAGUAGACCCAACCAUGGAGGAGUUGGCUGUCUCCUGGGAGGCAGAUGUGUAGACAAGGCACACUGGCAUUGACGCCACAACAGAAAAAUAAGCACUUGGAACAGAAAGGAGCUCUACCCAACUACCCGGAAUGCAGGCGGGCCUGGGACUAUGUGACUACCACCCUCUAAGUGAGGUUUUGAAAAUAAACA